UACGUAGGCGGAAAAUUAAGUCAGUAGUGAAAUCCUGCAGCUUAACUGUAGAACUGUUAUUGAUACUGGUUUUCUUGAAUAUAGUUGAGGUAAGCGGAAUGUGUAAUGUAGCGGUGAAAUGCUUAGAUAUUACACAGAACACCGAUUGCGAAGGCAGCUUACUAAACUGUUAUUGACGCUGAGGUACGAAAGCGUGGGGAGCGAACAGGAUUAGAUACCCUGGUAGUCC
rnacentral:rRNA from 1 species